UACUGUAUAAGAAUUAUAGCGUCAUGUUUCAUAGGAAAAUUGAUUAAGCUGACAGAAUUAUAUGAACUUGAUCUAACACAAUUUAAUUCAAGACUCAAAUGUGCUGCAUUUUUGAGCUUCAAGGCAAAUUGAGAAUGUUGAAACCGCCAGUUAACGUUUAACCAUGAACAAAGUCUACAAGCAGAAAAGAUAUUAAAUGAAAAGAAUUGGAGUCACAUCACGUGACAUGGGUCUUAAAGGGGAGAAAGAGAAAGCAUUCUGCACAGCAUUGCUGAAGACCGUCGUACUACUGCAAGUUGUGCUGAGCAUCUGAUUGUCUUCAACACAAAGAUAGCAGUGCUGUUUUUCAACGGCAGUUUAUCUGCAGUAUGUCAGAGGAGCGAGGAAAGGACUCUCUGUCUGAGAUGAGUGUCUCAGUGAAACAGAGUGAAAAUGUGGGGCUACAUGUGUCCUUUAGUGAUGAAACACCAUCACAAGCUAAAAGUGAAAGAUCAGG